GUUCAACUGGAAAAAAGUCAGUAAUAUUCAUAAUUAACAAAUUAUUAAAUAUAGUCUUCUUGUACAUCGAUGCACCCAUUGGUAAUUAUCAUAUUUAUUUAGCUACUAUUAAAUUCAAAUGUGUACAAUGGUUAAUCUCUGUAGCCCUGAGCAAUCUCAAUUUUAUUCUUUGUUAUUUUUAAUUUUCCCCACUCUGCACAAUAAAUGUAUAUCUGAUAAGCAUAAAGAGUGAUGAUUUAAAAAGAGUUCAUUUCCAUGCUAAUAAAUAAAACCACAGAAUAUUUUUAUUACUAUAAAUGUCAUUAUAUAUAGUAUGUUUUCAUCCAAAUUAAAGCCUAAUACUCCCUUAUUGCUGGAAGUGAUACUUGAAAACAUCAGAAUCAACGUCAGCUAAAGGUACAAAUACAACCCCUUAAAAAUAUAGACCAUUACUGCUGAGGACGGACAUUGUCAGUUAACAAUAUUCAAUUCUCUUUUUUAAAAAAAAUUGUUCCACCACAACUCCUAUCUGUGGAAUAUAAAGGUUAAAAAAACAGCCUCUGUCUUUGGAGGGAUUGCAAAGACACAGACCAAUGUGCCAAGCUCAUGGGAAACUGUUGUCAAAUGGCUUUCAGAAAAGCCCCAAGAGUGUGUCUGCUCUGUGUACUGGUCAGUGGACUGCUUAUAUAAUUUUUUGACAUAAAUCCGUUGCAGAGUGGAAUUGAGAUGGGUCUACCCUUCGAUUGAAGCUGCUUGAGGCUUUCAAGGGGCAGUGGUGGAAAUUUCCAGACACUAUUGCUGUGUUCUCCCUCAUCAUUUACUAUUUUAAUGAACAAAUGUUGUUUGUACACACACACAUCCAAGAAAUGUUGAAUUCAGUUUCUCCAGACAAAAAUUUAAACAAGUUGGUUACCAACAAUUCUAGUGAACUUUCCAAAUGCUGCUUCGCUGACCUGAAAUUACUACAAGGCACGCGCGCGCGCACAACACACACACACACACACACACACACACACACACACACACACACACACACACAUCAUAGUGCCUGGUAGAGAUGCAGGAUAAGAUGAAAGUGGGAUGCAGAAUGGAGGCCAGCAGCUUUUUCAACAACCCGUUUUGUUUUCUAUAAGUUUUGUCUUCUUUGCCUUAAACUUGCAUCUACCAAAUAGCACACGAAGAAGGGGCACAUUGCAUGGUUUACCAGAAGACCCCAUCUGUUUCUUAUUGUGCGUCAGCAUAGACGGGCAUCAUGUGUUAUUCGAUCAGAAGAUUUAGUAAAUGUUAACGUGUUUACUGAUGUCCUCCUCCACUGCCACCACCACCACUGUCCGUGUUGAAAAUUCAGUUGCUCAGUAAGCAAAUAUGAUUCACAAUCCACUUCUCAGAAAUUCGAAAGAGGCACGAAUACAAAAAUGUAACUUGAAAGGCUGAAUUAAAUGCGCUUUACCGGGCAGGGAUUGGAAAAGUACUUUUCUGUGUGAGUCUGGAAUAGAGCAGAACAAAGUCAAUUACUGGCUGUAAUUAGGAAGUGGAUGCAUUUAAACUGUAGAGAGCAGCAGCAGUCUUCUCCACACUGCUGCCUAGGAACUCCAAAGAUUACUUGGGAAAGCAGAGAGGAAGGUAUGCGCAGGACGCCUCUGCUAGGGCAAUUCAGAGGAGCCGCUUUCAUACGUCCCCUGGUUUGAGCUUCCCUGAGUGGAUUUAUAAAGCACUGUUUAUGGAUGAUUAAUACAGUAAUAUAUUUAGACAAAGAAACUUUUAAAAUACAGCUUAUGUUUGGCUAUGUGAGCAGAAAAAGACCCAUUCCGAAGUGUGCAUCUAGCAUCAAAACAGUCAAGGCAGUGUUGAAAACUGUUUACCACAGUUUGAAUUUACUAGGGCAAGAAAUGAACUAUGCUGCCUCUUUUGUAAACCUUCAGAAUAUAGUAAAUCUAAUUAUAUUUUUUCUUUUCCUUUCAAAUGGUGUUCCCUUUAUAAUUUUAAUAGUGUUUUAUUUAUACUGGUAUAAAGUAUUAUAUUAUGCUGUACUUUGUACUUUGUGCUUUGCAAAGUCAUUUCUCUUUAUGUAUAAUAACAACUUGUAAUAUGUAUAAAAUAUUCAUAAUCAAAACAUUUAAAUUUAGAAUUAAGGUAAAAGUUGAGAACACUACUGGAUUUCGUGUGUUAGUUACAAGCGACCUCGUGUUUUUAGGUUUUAACUUCUGAGUCAAUACUUUAAAAAGUAAAUAUUUGAGAUUUUUAUAUAAGUAAGGAGCAUUGAAAUGGCAUUUAGGUAAUUAGAAAAAUAUUAUCCUGGCUUUCUUCAUGGGCAAAUGGCUAUUUUUAGCCAUUCCAAACUUUACAUGCCAUUUGAGUUCAAAAGAAUGCGAGAAAAAGAGUAAUGGCUCGAGUGAUCUGGCAGAUUUCAGGAUGGGUAAUUAAUUCUACUACUCGCUAGCUUUUCCUUUCUUUUUUUUUAUUGGAUAUUUUAUUUAUUUACAUUUCAAAUGUUAUCCCCUUUCCCAAUUUCCCCUCCGGAAGCCCCCUAUCCCAUCCUCCCUCCCCCUGUUUCUCUGAGGGUGCUCCCCCACCCACCCACUCCUGCCUCCCCAACCUGGCAUUCCCCUACAUUGGGGCAUCGAGCUUUCCCAGGACCAAGGGCCUCUUCUCCUAUUGAUGUCCGACAAGGCUACAUAUGUGGCUGGAGCCAUAGGUCCCUCCAUGUAUACUCUUCGGUUAGCUUUUCCCUUCUUAAAAUGUGGCCGCUUCUCUCUUUACUGAAGAAGGAACCAGAAUGGCCACUGGAACUCCUGUCCCCUAAGAAUGUGUGCUUGGCAGUCCUGAGUCGUAUUGCAUCUCUCUAAAGAUUUCUGAAAAUAAAUAAUAAAUACAUAUAUGUGAAUGUAUGUAUGCAAACAGAUUUUUUUAAAAAUCCCAAGAUAAACAUCAGAAAUUUCUGGAACAAAAUGUCAGUCUAUGUGAGUUCAUAUAGCAUUGAUAGUAAAUCUAGAGACUAUAGGUCAUUCACUGUGUUAAACAUUUUGUAACAUCUUAAAACAUAUUUAUCUUAUAUAUAGUUUGGGUUACAAUGUUGAGGUGAGUCAAUAUAACUGUAGAAUUUAUACUGAUAAAUAUUAAUAUAUACUGUGUUGCUAUUUAUUUGUCAUUGUUACUGAUCCAAGAGUGUCAAAAUCUUUAGAACAAAUAGCCAACACAUGAGCAUAUACUGUAUUAAAUAUACUUGUUUAUAUUAAUUGAAAUUAUAACCUAUUUAUACCUUAAAAAAAUUCAAGAUACUGUUGUUAAAUGUUGCCGUAAAAAACUAUGGAACCUGCAGAAAAAGUUAUUUGGGGUUAACACUGUCACAUUAUUGACAGGAUGAUAAAGCCAGUCUGAAGUGUGAUUUGUGAUCUUUCCGAACCUGUCGCACAUUUUGCCAUUCAUCUAUCAGAGCGCAUAAGCCCGGCUGACUGGACCCUGAUUCAGCUUCUUGAAACGCCAGCUUUAUAAAGUUCUGUAGUCUGGCUUGAUGUGUGACAGUUGCUAAGAAAUGUCUGUCCUCUUGUUG
rnacentral:lncRNA from 1 species